UACGGAGGGUGCAAGCGUUAUCCGGAUUCACUGGGUUUAAAGGGUGCGUAGGUGGGUUGGUAAGUCAGUGGUGAAAUCUCUAGGCUCAACUUGGAAACUGCCAUUGAUACUAUUAAUCUUGAAUACCGUGGAGGUCAGCGGAAUAUGUCAUGUAGCGGUGAAAUGCUUAGAUAUGACAUAGAACACCAAUUGCGAAGGCAGCUGGCUACACGAAUAUUGACACUGAGGCACGAAAGCGUGGGGAUCAAACAGG
rnacentral:rRNA from 1 species